UCCGUUGAUUUUCGUCUAUGAAGAAUAUGAUUUAUAUGCGGUUACAGUUUAGUUUCAGGUCAAUCGGUACACCUCCCCCAAACUGAUGGUGAGCUGUUUACUGAUUGUAAUGUCAUUAUGGGUCCACAGGGAGAUGGCAAGUUGUGCGACGUGACUAUUUCUUACUCCCGUGGACGAAUACUGUCCUUAGUGUUGGCAUGGAAUGCUACAUUUCCUGAGAAGUUGCGAUCCAAUUGUACACUAUGUGAUUAUCAGUUAGCAUCUGACAUGAUGAUAGAUCGUUCAAAAAGCCACGUCUUAUAAAGCAUGCCUGGGGCAGCAAUGCUUGACCUCCAGCGACCGUCAUACUAUGGAGAGCUAUCAGUGAUGCUGUGGACAAGUGCGUGUCCAAUCGGCAGCAUGGAAUUGAGUUCAACUGCAAUAUCGUCCUUUUUAAUUUUAGAUAUCCGAAGGCACUGAACCAAAGUAAUUAAACAGUUUGACAUAGAUGAACGUUUCUCUUUGGAAUAGUCUGGGUCAAGUUAAGGUUGGUCUCGGAAACUGUGAGAUGAAAAAAAUCCAACAAAAAUAAGUCAUUUUGAUGGAAAACAAAUUGCAUAUGAGCAUCCAAGUUUUUUAUACGGUCUCCGUGAAACUGUGCAAGCAGGUGGACGAAAACAGCCUUCUGCCAUUUUUGGAUUCUUGGUGUUUACAAAUCAUUAGAAUGAAGCACAGUGAAACUGAUGUUCUGAAGUGAAAAUGUAUAAAAUCUGCAGUGCAAAUAUCUUUUUUGAAUUUUCCUGUAGUAAAAUGUGCAAAACAUGACAUACAUAUUGAUGAAGAGUUGAUUUGGCUGUCCAAAAUUCCACAACACAUGGAAAAAAGUAUUCACGUCGUAUUAUUUUCCCGUUGUUUUUGAUUUUCACGAAUGGACGAUGCGGGGUGUAGAAUGUUAUAUUUUCUUGGACCUUGCACGAAGUUCCAAUAUCGCAGCCGUCGUUCAAGGGCGCGGAAAAUUCCAAUCGCUGCCAAACUUGAUUACUUGUUGCUACGAUCAGUCAGAAUGCUUGGGGAAUGUCAAAUAAUCAAACUCACAAAGUUACCUCCACACUCACUGAAUCCGCUGUUGCUUCAAAUACUGUGCUGGGGACAUCACAUUAAUCACAAGCCCAUAUAAACGCAUUGGGAAGAUCCAAAAUUAUCAACUGGUUCGACACGAAGUUGUGGCACGCCAGAAUACAGACAUAAUUUGUACUUUAAUCUGAAAUAGAAUUCGGCACCCGCCUCUUCAAACCGGAUAUGUUUAUAGGAAUUAUUCACUGGUAGUAAGAGACUCCAAGAACCUUAUCAUGGAAAUCAAUUAUACUUAAUUCAGAACAGGUAACUUUCAUUGAAUGCACACGCACGCUUUACAAAAUACUGAAUAAAUGUUGAAUUGAAUAUAAUGUAUGGCGGCAGAAGGGAAAGUGCGAUGUUUUACUAACUUGGAUGAUAACGUUUUCUUUUUACUUAUUUGAAUUUCCCUGAAUGCUUCUCAUUAGACCAUAAGACAUAGUAACAGAACUAGGCCGUUCGGUCCAUCGAGUCUGUUCCGCCCUUCCAUCAUGACUGAUUUAUUAUCCCUAUCAAUUCCAUUCUUCUGCCUUCUCCACGUAACCGUUGACGCCCCGACUAAUAAAGAACCUAUCAACCCCCCCCCCCUUUAAGCCUACCCAACGACUUGGCCUCCACAGUCGUCCGUGGCAAUGAAUUCCACAGAUUCACCAUCCUCUUGCUAAAUUAAUUUCUCCUCAUCUCUGUUCUAAAUGGACGUCCUUAAUGUUUCUUCAGAGGCUUUAAUUAUGCAAUCUGGUCAUUUGCCGCAUUAUUAAAAUAUGUUCCGAGAAGGUGAUCGCCCACAAUUAAAAAACAAGCGAUGUAAAGGAAAGAAAAACAAGUGCUUAAAAGUUUAUAUGCUUUUUAAUGUGGUAUAGCUUUUAACUUUCGACAUAACUUGUCAAACGUAAACACUGUUAGAAUUUUUAAUUCCCGUAUUCUCAGAUUCCAGCAUAAAAUGGUCUCCUGCUGAAAUUGAAUACCCGUGAUUAUUCAUAGCAUAAAUGUCUUACUUAGUCUUUCCCUUCGGCUAGAAUCGAGAUAGGGUUGGGCUUUAAGUUUACGGUCCUGAUAUCACCCUGUACAUAACCUGAAGUAAUCCUGAGCAGAAGAAACAGAAAAUAGAAGCAGAACUGCUUUAGGUUACAGAAAAUCUCAAAUAUUUAACUUCACAUGCAUUCUUUCGCCUCCUUAAAACAGACAGGGGAACACUGCAUCCAAAUGAAUAAGCUGGCGGGACAGCCGGAUAAAAACAGCCCCAAUUCAGCACCACCCGUGACCCCGUGUAGACCCCAUCCCUCGUCUGCGAAUGAGGAUGUUUACGCAGAAUACAGUAAGCAAGUUGUAUUGCCUGUCUGCUUAUUUACUCCAGUGUUUUCCAGAAAUAUGCCUUUGAUUCACUGCUCUAAGAUUAACAAUUAAAAGUAAGAUGCAAAUUGCAGUUAUUAUUCAUUAUUCAAUCUGUUACUUAUUUAUAAUAAGGGAUAAAAAUAAAAGAAAAUCUCAGUUGA